rnacentral:rRNA from 1 species
UACGUAGGGGGCAAGCGUUGUCCGGAUUUAUUGGGCGUAAAGCGUGCGUAGGCGGUUUGUUAAGUCUGUUGUGAAAUCCCCGGGCUCAACCUGGGAAUGGCAUUUGGGACUGCAAGGCUGGAGUGCGGCAGAGGAGACUGGAAUUCCUGGUGUAGCAGUGAAAUGCGUAGAUAUCAGGAGGAAUACCGAUGGCGAAGGCAGGUCUCUGGGCUGACACUGACGCUCAUGCACGAAGGCGUGGGGAGCAAACAGG